UACGGGGGGGGCAAGCGUUGUUCGGAAUUACUGGGCGUAAAGCGCACGUAGAUGGCCUGUUAAGUCAAGUAUGAAAUCCCUGGGCUCAACCCAGGAAGUGCACUCGAAACUGGCGGGCUUGAGUACUGAAGAGGGUCGCGGAAUUCCCGGUGUAGAGGUGAAAUUCGUAGAUAUCGGGAGGAACACCAGUGGCGAAGGCGGCGACCUGGGCAGAUACUGACACUGAGGUGCGAAAGCGUGGGGAGCAAACAGG
rnacentral:rRNA from 1 species